UCUCCGCACCACCCGCCCCUUCCUGCGCCCGCCUUCCCCCGCAACCGGGACGCGACGGGACGGGACGGGGAGAAAUAGCCGAGUCACGGCCUGGAGCCCGUGAGGGCAGGGCAGGGGAACUAUCGCCCGUCUCGGGCAGGGUACCUCGCGCUCCGCCAGGGACGGUCUCCAAUGCCUUCCUCCUUUCAGGUGGGGUCUUCUUCCCCCUCUCAGCUCCUGUUGUCAUAGAUAGCGGGCUCGGGGGUGGAGGUCGAGGCUUUUCACACCAGGAGUGGCUCCUGGGGAGCGCUCUGUGUUUUGGGAGCUUGCUGUGGGCCCCCGCCCGCCAUUUUCUCUCCCUCAGGAACCUCUGUUGGUGGACCCUGCGGUUGACUCAUACCAUCACAACUUAUUGCCUCAAGCCGGUUACUUUUCUGACUUCGGCGAAAAAUAACGCAAAUUAAGUUCCCUCCUACGUGGCCGUGCAGGGCAAAGCUUUCGGGGUUUUGCCCGCCAGUCCCAAGUGAAGGCGUAGAGAUGAAUUCGGUACUGGAGAAGGUCCCCCGUAGCUUUGUGUGCUGCAGGACACAAAUCAUCCUUAGCUUUAACCAACACCACAGCAUACUUGGAAUGCAAAGGUCUAUGUAAAUAUACCCUCUGACUGCAGCUGCUGUGGGAAAAAGAAGAAAUUAUAAGGAAGCAGGUGAAAGAAGCAACAUCUACAAAAGAAGAAAAAGGAAAAUCACUGAAAGAAAUGCCUAAGUUGAGUGAAAGGAAACAAGGGGAGAUCAUGUCAAGCUUUGACAAGAUGAAGAUCAUUCUGGAGCUUUGAAUGACUACCCAUUACAUACAUUUCUCAAUAUUAAAUAUAUGCUGGAAAAACAAAAAUUUAAAUGUAAAUUUGGACCCUUCAGAAGCAUCCUACUACUAUUUUAUUAGUUUUGUCCUACAGACUUGCUGAACAGACACAUCUCAGUACAGCAGAGAGCAGCCCAGAUACUGUGCACAGGAAACUGCUGGGGAUGAGCGUCACUGGCUCACAGGAUUUCACUGCACCCUGCUCUCAUCAGCAGCAAAUCAUAAAAUCAGACACUUGCUCAAUAAAACUCUAAGUCCUCAAAACAUUGCUUGUCAAGUUGGAUCUCUAACCCAGACUAAUUUUCUUCAGUGUGAAAGUCACCAGAGCUAAACUGGUAUUAAACAGAUUCCUCCAAAAUAUCCAAAGCAGUUUCUUUCUGUUGACUUUUAAUAACAAUUUCUCUGUACCUAUUUCUACUUGUUCAGUCACAAUAGCUCAGUCUAGGCAAACUGAACUGAUAUGAAACACAAACAUAUAAAUGCUUUCAAGGAAUGUUUUAAUUUUGCAAAGCCACUACACUUGAUUGACAGAUAACAGUAAAAAAUGAAAAGAUACUACUUCUAAACUUUUUGCAAAUGACUUUUGAAACAUCUAUUCCAUGCCAUCUAGUGGCCAGUACCAGGCAGUACUAUUGUACGAGUCAAAAUUUCUAGAAAUAGCUUUCCAUGCUAAAAUUAAGAGUCACUCCAGUACUCCUAUUUAAAGGCAGCAGGUAAAAGAGAGAGACAAUUAAAAAGGAGGUUUCAGCUUAAGAGCACAUUAAAAUAUGAAUGUUUCAAAGUAAAACUAUAAAAUAAACAAGACCUUUCAUUGUUAGCCUUUAAUUUUGUGGGGCUUGUUAUCAAAUCUAACAUUAUCCUAAUUUUGUGAUAUACAUUCUGCAAUCUCGUCGUAAAGCUCAAGAAAGUUCCUCUUAGCUAUUGCUUUAAACAGUGUCAAGCUUCAAAAAAGGGAAGGGGGUGGAAAAGGCAAAAAGAAGUGGAGCAAGCAUUCAAAUGCUUUGAAACUUUUCAGCAUUCACAAGAACAGCAAUUCUAGGACAACCUCAGCUACUCACAGGACUCAAGAUGAAAUCCCUUGAGUGAGGGACGAUUUACCUUCACUUUAAAAAAAAACAAAACAGCAUCCUCCAAAGAAAUCCCUCUCUAGAUUCCAAUCAGAGUAAUUUCCUCCCGCCAUGUAACUACCUUUUGAAAGUUACAUCAAGGAUUUUCUCUGAGUUCUUUGUCUCACGGCUGUUCUUUAGCUACAGCCCAUGGCUACUAACAGUAUGUUUGGUUAGGUAGAAAUCACAACCUAAACCAGUCUCUAUGAGAGCUACCAAACUAUAAAGACAAUUAGCAAACUGCUACUGAUCUCUGCAUCAUAAAAACAGUGGGCAGUGCUUGGCAGGACUCAAGAGCUACAGCAGGGGAAGAAUGAAGAGAAGCAGCAUUGAAAAAGCUGAUCCACAACAGCAUGAUUAUAAAAAGAACAAAACAGAAGUGCAGAUACAGAGUGGCCAGGAUGGCUACUUGCAUUAUUUUCCACAUUUCUAUACUUUUACCUAGAAGUGUGAAAAGAUUUUUUCAUAUCCUGAAAUUUACAUUCAAAAUUUGCAUUUGUGGUGGGAAAUAAGAAAAAACCCAACCAAAAAAAAAGCCCCCCAAACCUCCCAAGAACUAGACCAUAUAACAGUCUUCACAGAAAUCCUAAUAAUUUGCCCUUUGAUGUCAAUGUUUUGUAAUAAAUACCCAUAUUAAAUGCUCCUGCUUUCACUCUGGUCACUUUCUCUUGCUUUUCUUUCUUGCAAAAGAUGCAGCAGUCUGUUAACUCUAAGAAAAAUAUCAGUACUACUUUAUAUUUAAUAAAACACAAUGGACUACAUCAGCUACACCAAUUUCCCAGUGAUUUCUAAUUUAAAUUCACCUUUCUGAUUUGAAUACUUAAAACUUGCAUGCCAAAACGGUCUGCAAACCCUUGAAGGAAAGCGCUAUCCUACAUAAUACUGCCCCAGCUUCAGAGCAUUUGAGAAAAAUAAGAAACAAAAACAGGACCAAAA